rnacentral:rRNA from 1 species
GAUGAACGCUGGCGGCGUGCCUAAUACAUGCAAGUCGAGCGAAAAGACGAGGAGCUUGCUCCUCUGACUUUAGCGGCGGACGGGUGAGUAACACGUGGGUAACCUACCUAUAAGACUGGGAUAAAUUCGUGAAACCGGAGCUAAUACCGGAAAAUAUAUUGAACCCCAUGGUUCAAUAGUGAAAGACGGUUUUGCUUUCACUUAUAGAAGGAUCCGCGCCGCAUUAGCUAGUUGGUAAGGUAACGGCUUACCAAGGCGACGAUGCGUAGCCGACCUGAGAGGGUGAUCGGCCACACUGGAACUGAGACACGGUCCAGACUCCUACGGGAGGCAGCAGUAGGGAAUCUUCCGCAAUGGGCGAAAGCCUGACGGAGCAACGCCGCGUGAGUGAUGAAGGUCUUCGGAUCGUAAAACUCUGUUAUUAGGGAAGAACAAAUGUGUAAGUAACUAUGCACGUAUUGACGGUACCUGAUCAGAAAGCCACGGCUAACUACGUG